rnacentral:rRNA from 1 species
CCUACGGGAGGCAGCAGUGAGGAAUAUUGGUCAAUGGACGCAAGUCUGAACCAGCCAUGCCGCGUGAAGGAUGACGGCUCUAUGAGUUGUAAACUGCUUUUGUACGAGGGUAAACUCCGAUCCGUGUACCGGGCUGAAGGUCUCGUACGAUUACGGAUCGGCUAACUCCGUGCCAGCAGCCGCGGUAAUACGGAGGAUCCGAGCGUUAUCCGGAUUUAUUGGGUUUAAGGGGUGCGUAGGCGGGUGGAAAAGUUAGUGUUGAAAGGUCGGGGCUCAACCCCGAAACUGCCCCUAAUACUGUUGGACUAGAGAAUAGUUGCGGUAGGCGGAAUGUAUGGUGUAGCGGUGAAAUGCAUAGAGAUCAUACAGAACACCGAUUGCGAAGGCAGCUUACCAAACUAUAACUGACGUUGAGGCACGAAAGCGUGGGUAGCAAACAGGAUUAGAUACCCUAGUAGUC